UGCUCUGAAAUUGGGGCAUUGAACAAGAUACAGCCUAGUCAGCACCAGGGAAGCUGACAUGGGAAUCCAAAAAGUCAGUUUUGGCUUUAAUUGAGCACAAAAGAGUCCUUUCAACAGUUUGGGGAGUGGAAACUCAAAUUCUGUCCUUCUUAAUAAAAUAUAGUGCUUUGCUAGAUAAAAAAAAUGUUGGGAAAUGGGAAAAUCUUGGACCCCAAGGGUUUCUGACCCUACUUUGAGGAGAAUCGGGCUGUAAGAGAUGGAGUAGUUGCAGGCUGUACUUUGCAGAUGUAUUUGAUAAUUUAUCAGGCGCCUGUUCCCUGAGCAGCAGAGAUAACCUACAACCUGCAGCCGGAGAGACACCUUGAGUCACGAGGUCUGGAGCUCAAAAUGAAGUUUUCAUGCUGACUCAAUGAUAUUCUUAUAGAUAAGAGUGAUACUGCAAAAUCACAUCCUUAACGCAGUUUACUUUUCAGGGAAGAGUCUUACAGAGUCUCCCUAGCAAGCUGGGAUUUAUUAAACAGGGGUUUUAUAACUACAAUGUUUAUUUCAUGGGUGUUUUACUCUGCUUCAUCCAGUUAUUGUUGCUCUGCAUGGUUUGCAGAUGGAUUACUUGUGACACUGACCUUUACCUGAAUUUAUUCACUUGCCAGCAGCUCUAAUAGAAAUGUCCUUAGCUGUAGUUUGAGUGUUUUUCACUGCUAAGUAUAAGUGUUAUAUGCAGUUACAGAGCUGAACCCCCGCUGCUCAGACUUGUCCCUUCUUGGCCCGGAAAACAUGCCGCUGAUGAAAUUUUCAUUGAGCAGAUGAAGCUGAGCGCAGUUUCAUAAUUCCCCUGCGAGUUGCAUCAGCUUGUUCUGAUAUCAUUCUAUCAAGACCCACUAAGAGCGGAUUUGAUGUCUUGAUAGCUGAGGGGAGCGAUUCUGUUUGAGGAUGAUGCUUCCCAAGGUACACUGGGGUUUGGAGUACACGCAGUGUGACUGAGGUGUUGUUUGGUAUCAACAUGGCACUUUUCCAUCUGAGCAUUUUAUUGUCCCUGAACUGCAGGCAAAACAAUGCUCUCUGCUUGAGUUGACUAAAGGACGACACGCUUCAAAGAAAAGCCAAACGGGGACUCAUGUGUGCCCGUGUGUGAACUACAGAGUGCAGAAGUUCUUACAUUACAAAUUUUUCAAAACCAUUAUUCACUGUGGAUCACUAUGUUACCUGGAGACUGUAACUUGUGAUUGAUGUGGUGCAUUCAUACUGGGAAUGCGACGUCUGUAAAUUACCUGAAUGUUUUGACAUGUCUGAUAAGCUUCUCCCCUAUUUUCAAUAGUCACAAAUAUUGAUUUAAAUAUGUCUAUGCGCAAAACAAUAACUAGAGCACUGUGCACUUUUAAGAAAAAUGAUCACGGUCCAGGACUGUUGUGUAUAAUCCUGGACGAUAACAUCUGCAAAACUGACCCCCAAGUUCCACGGCAUCUGGAACGGCUGCCGUAUGCGCCGAUCGCAGCUGAUCGUUUCCAUUCAAGUUAAUGUGUCAAUUUCUGCCACCUUUUUCCGUUCUGCUGCGGAUCAGCAGACUACGCAGCCGAUCGUAAGAGUUCUAUUUUUCCCGGAUGCUGCUGCAUGCUGGAUAAAUUCAAAGGAAGUUGGGCACAGACACAAAAUAAAACAUCUGUCUCCCUUUCAGGCGGAUCAUAUUUCACACCAUGCAAAUGGGCGGGGAUGAACAAGUGAAAGGUUUUUCGACAGUAUUUCACCCUGUUGACACCAUGGAUGAGAAGAUGCUGAUUCUAGAAGACUAGAAGUGGAUUUCCUCCUCUGGAAGGACACAAUCUACUGCUUAUAUGGUUAUGUGGCUGUCUUCAUAGAGACAACUCAUUAUCGCGUGAUUUUAUGUAAAUCCCCAGGUUCUUGUGCGUUUUCACAAUUCCUGCUGUCCGAAAUUCGCCUCACAAGCUUAUCCAGUAGGAAUUAGCGGGCAAAUGCAGUGCAAAUUACGGCCGAGGGGGGCAGUGUCACCGCUGUGAUCUGACCAUUGGUCACCGGUCCUUUGUGCUGGUUCAGAAUGUGACAGAUGGCCUAAACUCUGUGGUGUGCCAUCUAUGGGUAUCAGACACAAAGCUAAACAGCAAGAACAUCUUCAACACCCCGUCACUCCUGUCCUGGCUCCUCUCCACUGUACAUUGUACCAAUGAUUUUAAGACUUCACUGAUCACUUUUAAAGCUCGCCUGGGUAUUCCUUAAAUUUCAUUUAAGGAAAUACUGAUCCCUGAUGAGCCAUCUCACAGCUUUAAGCUCCUUUAGAUGUUGAAUUGCAGCAGCCCUAGAGCUCCCAAGUACAUCUGAACUCCUUAUCUUAACUGUAAGAAAAACCCCGGCCAUCCAGCUGUGGGAACUCAUUUAGGCUUCUUGUUUCUGUUAAAGGGAUAGUCAGACCUCAAAAGUCUGAACAUUCAAGUCUAACCUACUCAAGAAUUAUUUCUCCAUCACCUUUGUGGUGCAUCUUCUCUCUCAACCAGUCCUGGAGCACAGCCAAGGCUUGUAACGUGUUACAGUUUGUAGUUUCUCUGUGUACGUUUUCUUCAAUUUGGUAGAUGUCUCCUCCACUCAGCUCCUCUGCCAUUUAUCCAGAUCAUUUGGCUUUGAAAUACUGUACAUUGAAUUUGCAAUAUGAAAAGGACUGUUGUUUGAUGACUGACAGGAAUCCUGACUAGAUUUUUAACCUCCAAAUACACAUCUUUGUUUUUCUUUCUGAAUCACAUGGAUUUACUCAUGUGAUGUUUUUUAACCUAGCAAAUAUUCAGUUUGCUCAUGACGUUGGUAUGGUUGACUUUGAUAGACUCAUGAUGUACAAAAAACUUCACUAUUUCUCAGCUCUAGAUCUAACAGGGAAUAAAGCCCACUCAAACCAUCAAAUUGUGAACAUUCCAUUUAUUUGUUCAAGUUCACAAUAAGCUUGGUAUACAAAGACAGAUAUAAUGAUUUGAUUUGAGAGUGGUUUAAAUUGUACUGGAAAAAUGAGCUUGAAUCCAUGCUGCCAUUAGAGACUCCAUCUGUCAGCACCAAAUGUCCGUCAUCUAAAAUUGCAGCACCUAUAAAAAGAGGUCUGAACCUGUCUUUGUGAAGCUAGUGAAUAUAGUGCUUUCUAAAAGCCAAAGAGAAAGACCAUGAACCUCCAAAUGACUCACAGCUCCUUUGUGACUUUAUGAGAGACUUGGACUCUUGGCUUGGUUUUUACUGUGAUUUUCUGUGAGAGGAAAAGCCGACACUCCAGGUCAUUCAUUGUGAUUGCUCCCUGCUUCUCAUCCAGUAUGAAGGGAACAACUCUGUGAGCGGAAACCACUACCGAGUGUGAGGUUACUCAAUCACCAUGGUGACAGAAGUGUGGCCGCCCCAUCAAUUCCUUGGAAGGCAAAGAAAUACUUUAUUUUCUUGAAGGACUGUAUUAAAAGCAAUAACUUCUCACUCUACUGUUCAUUGACCCGCUACUGAUGAUUUAAAAUGUGAGGUCUGUGAUUAUACUGUAAACUAUGUCCAAUCACACUGGAGAGUCUAAGCUCUGUCUGAGACCCAGACCAUCCAUAUUACGUCUGUUUUAUAAUUUGCCUCUAGCAUUGUGGCUUUGUCCACCUCAUCUAUUUUUAAUUAUGAACUAUUGGGUUGGGCUAAGAAAGAGUAAGAGCUCAUCGAACCCUAGAUUACUGAAGUUGAAUAGUUUGGCUGGUGAAAUACUAAAAAGGUUGAGUCUGAAUAGCUCAGGGUGAAUCAGAGACACAAAUGACAUAUCUGACAGAUGGGAACACUGUAGCUGAUGCACACCAUCUAAUCUAAUCUAAUUCAGUGUUUCAAUUCUGUAAGCCUUUCCUGUGUGGCUGUAUUAAGUUUAAUAAUGCUUCGUUUUGUAUAGACUCUUUUCAAAGGUCAAAAGGACUAGACUGAAUAGAGGCGAUUAUCAAGCAUGCUUUCCUGUGCAAUGCACACUUCAUAUUAGUUAAUGUACAAACUGUGGUAUGGAUGUAUGACAUUAUUUUGCCCCUUCCUCUACUAUUGGAUCAUUGGAUUUCAUUGUAACGCUAACUUUUUGGCACAUGAGCUAAUGUAAGCAAUGUGUCUUUGUGUCUCUCUCCUCAUUACAAUUGGUAUAGCAUAUCAAACACCUUCAAGUCCGCCCGUAAGUCAGUGUACAUUUCUCUAAACUUUGACCUCAUCAUCUUGCUAGAAACUGUAAUACUGAUCAAUGCCUCCUCUCAUGCAGAUUAUGUCCUUUUGAAUCAUUAAUUCCCAGUUUCUAUCAGUACAGGCCCCACAUUUUUACCGUUUUGCCUCUCACUCUUUAAAAAUCAAUGGAGGAGUAUUUUUCUGCUGCUUCUGAUGAAAAAACUUUACAGGAUUUUGGUUCACCUGCUUUCUCUGUCCUGCCAUGUGACGUGCAACAUUUGGGUGAAAGUCAAAAACAGCAGGUGCUUCACUGCAUUUUGCUUGUGCUCGUGCAGGAGCAACCUUAACAUGCCAGAGCCCUUCUCAUGGUCAAGGAAGUAAUGUGCACUCGCACUAGUCAAAGAAAGUUGGAUUUUGGAGGUGAAAUAUACCAGAUUACAGUGCAGGCUAUGUGGGCGCACCAUAAUUCAAGUUGUAAAUGUACUUUAAAUGAUUACUAUGAUAAAUUUAUGGAUUCUUAACAACGAGGAGGAUAUUUUAAAUUGUUUAUUUAGACUCGUGGUUAAUGGUUGGCCAGUUACUGCUGGGGACAAAGUGAGGAUGAAAACAAGGCAGCGGGAGAAGUCAAAAGACACAAGGAGCUGAAUGAAAGAGACAUCAAACAAAUUGAAGAAGACAUAACAGAGAGAGAAAACAAAACAGAGCACAGUCUUUGGCAGUGUUUGCUGAAAGGAAAAUGGUCAAAACCCUUAAAAAAAUAAGGGGUAAAGAAUCGUACUCAGGCACUGUGGUAAUUUUAUUCAUAGGUUUCAAUGCCAACAGAAAGAGGCUGAUGUUGGACUUUACUGUGAAUGAGUUUAUCACAGAAAAGAGGAGCCUGAUGUUUCAUUAAAUCAUAAAUAAAAAUGUUAAAUUUUAUGUUAAUCUGGCCCACAAGUAGGCUGAUUAGAAUAUAUAUAUCUGCUAUAAAACUUCUACUUACUGUGGGA